rnacentral:rRNA from 1 species
UACGUAGGCAGCGAGCGUUUGUUCGGAGUUACUGGGCGUAAAGGGUGUGUAGGCGGUUGUUUUAAGUUUGGUGUGAAAUCUCCCGGCUCAACUGGGAGGGUGCGCCGAAUACUGAAUGACUUGGAGUGCGGGAGAGGAAAGUGGAAUUCCUGGUGUAGCGGUGAAAUGCGUAGAUAUCAGGAGGAACACCGGUGGUGUAGACGGCUUUCUGGACCGUAACUGACGCUGAGACACGAAAGCGUGGGUAGCAAACAGG